UACGAAGGGGGCUAGCGUUGCUCGGAAUCACUGGGCGUAAAGGGUGCGUAGGCGGGGCUUUAAGUCAGGGGGGAAAUCCUGGAGCUCAACUCCAGAACUGCCUUUGAUACUGAAGAUCUUGAGUCCGGGAGAGGUGAGUGGAACUGCGAGUGUAGAGGUGAAAUUCGUAGAUAUUCGCAAGAACACCAGUGGCGAAGGCGGCUCACUGGCCCGGUACUGACGCUGAGGUGCGAAAGCGUGGGGAGCAAACAGG
rnacentral:rRNA from 1 species